AUGUAGGGCAAUCUGGUUUUAAGAAGGAGUAAAUUACUCUAAAAGAAAUGAAUCCUAGAUAGUUUUCCCUUCAAACCAAGCGUCUUGU
rnacentral:pre_miRNA from 1 species